AAAAUUGUUUUUAAAUGAUACAAAUGUAGAUACGUAUUCAUACGAGUUAUUUUCGGUGUUAUGACGAAUUGACAAUAAUAUUUCUCUACGUAUAUCUUUAUAUAAAUUAAAAAAUUGGAAUUUAAGCCUAUUAUUCUUAUUUGCUAAACAUGGUAAAAAAUUAAUCAAAAAACAAGAAAAUUUUAAUUAAAUGUAACGUGGAGAAAGUGCAAUAAAGUCCCUUUUCAAUUAUUUUUACAGAAUUUUAA
rnacentral:misc_RNA from 1 species